AAGGAUCAUUAAUGAAUUCACUAUGGAGUUGUUGCUGGCCUCUAGGGGCAUGUGCACGCUUCACUAGUCUUUCAACCACCUGUGAACUUUUGAUAGAUCUGUGAAGUCGUCUCUCAAGUCGUUAGACUUGGUUUGCUGGGAUGUAAACGUCUCGGUGUGACUACGCAGUCUAUUUACUUAUAACACCCCAAAUGUAUGUCUACGAAUGUCAUUUAAAGGGCCUUGUGCCUAUAAACCAUAAUACAACUUUCAACAACGGAUCUCUUGGCUCUCGCAUCGAUGAAGAACGCAGCGAAAUGCGAUAAGUAAUGUGAAUUGCAGAAUUCAGUGAAUCAUCGAAUCUUUGAACGCACCUUGCGCCCCUUGGUAUUCCGAGGGGCAUGCCUGUUUGAGUGUCAUUAAAUUCUCAAACUCACUCUGGUUUUUCCAAUUGUGAUGUUUGGAUUGUUGGGGGCUGCUGCCUUGACAGGUCGGCUCCUCUUAAAUGCAUUAGCAGGACUUCUCAUUGCCUCUGCGCAUGAUGUGAUAAUUAUCACUCAUCAAUAGCACGCAUGAAUAGAGUCUGGCUCUCUAACCGUCCGCAAGGACAAUUUGACAAUUUGACCUCAAAUCAGGUAGGACUACCCGCUGAACUUAA
rnacentral:rRNA from 1 species